AUCGAUGAAGAACGCAGCGAAAUGCGAUAAGUAGUGUGAAUUGCAGAAUUCAGUGAAUCAUCGAAUCUUUGAACGCACAUUGCGCCCCUUGGUAUUCCAUGGGGCAUGCCUGUUCGAGCGUCAUUUGUACCCUCAAGCUCUGCUUGGUGUUGGGUGUUUGUCCACUCCCUGGUGUUUGGACUCGCCUUAAAGCAAUUGGCAGCCAGUGUUUUGGUAUUGAAGCGCAGCACAUUUUGCGAUUCUAGCCUGAAAUACUAGCAUCCAGCAAGUCAUUUUUCACUUUUGACCUCGGAUCAGGUAGGGAUACCCGCUGAACUUAAGCAUAUCAAUAAGCGGAGGAAAAGAAACCAACAGGGAUUGCCCUAGUAACGGCGAGUGAAGCGGCAACAGCUCAAAUUUGAAAUCUGGCUCUUUCAGGGUCCGAGUUGUAAUUUGCAGAGGGCGCUUUGGCGUUGGCAGCGGUCCAAGUUCUUUGGAACAGGACGUCACAGAGGGUGAGAAUCCCGUACGUGGUCGCUAGCCUUCGCCGUGUAAAGCCCCUUCGACGAGUCGAGUUGUUUGGGAAUGCAGCUCUAAAUGGGAGGUAAAUUUCUUCUAAAGCUAAAUACUGGCCAGAGACCGAUAGCGCACAAGUAGAGUGAUCGAAAGAUGAAAAGCACUUUGGAAAGAGAGUCAAAUAGCACGUGAAAUUGUUGAAAGGGAAGCGCUUGCAGCCAGACUUGCCUGUAGUUGCUUAUCCGGACUUUUGUCCGGUGCACUCUUCUGCGGGCAGGCCAGCAUCAGUCUAGGCGGUUGGAUAAAGGUCUCUGUCAUGUACCUUUCUUCGGGGAGGCCUUAUAGGGGAGACGACAUGCAACCAGCCUGGACUGAGGUCCGCGCAUCUGCUAGGAUGCUGGCGUAAUGGCUGUAAGCGGCCCGUCUUGAAACACGG
rnacentral:rRNA from 1 species